rnacentral:rRNA from 1 species
UACGGAUGAUGCAAGCGUUAUCCGGAAUGAUUGGGCGUAAAGCGUCCGCAGGUGGCUAUGUAAGUCUGCUGUUAAAGAGCAAGGCUCAACCUUGUAAAGGCAGUGGAAACUACAUGGCUAGAGUGCGUUCGGUGCAGAGGGAAUUCCUGGUGUAGCGGUGAAAUGCGUAGAGAUCAGGAAGAACACCGGUGGCGAAAGCGCUCUGCUAGGCCGCAACUGACACUGAGGGACGAAAGCUAGGGGAGCGAAUGGG